UUGAAAAAUAUUUAAAAAAAAAUUAAUUUUUUUUUGUUUUAAAUUAAUUAUUUUUAAUAUUUUUAGAUUAUUUUGAUAUAUAUAUUAUUUUAAUAUAUUUUUAAAUGAAAAAUAUUUUAUGGUUUGACUGGUCACAGAAAAUGUUAAUGAGCUUCCAUGAAAAUGAAGGGACAGCCUCUUGUAGACGUUUUCUACGCAGAUAGUAAUGCGGGAGGCACCUCUCAUGAUUUUGUGGUUUGAUUAUUUUAAUGCUCCGUGGUGUGCAGACGGGCAAUCUUGGCUGGUCUGUGGCCGUUGUUGUUGAGGAAAACCCAAGGGGAAGCAGACGCUACUGCUGGAGGUUUGGGCUUCAGUGGAAACCGGUCUGCGGUGAGCGGCUGGGGAAGAGGAGUGGGCGCGAGAGACAGGGGCGGCUUGCGGCUAUGUUGAAAAAAGAUGAAGGCUUGGGUUUUUUUAUUGGCCGAGGGGCAGUGUGUUUUUGCUGGCGAGAUGGGUGGUCUCUGGAAAUGGUUUUGGGAGAGAACCCCGAGGAAGAGAGCCGUGGUUUUUUCAAAGGGAAGGGCGGCCGACUUGGUUUCAGAGGAAGAAAAGAUGAGCGGCCAGGUGCUGAGGUUUUUGGUUUCAAAGGGAGAGGGGCCGACCGGUCGUCUCUAGGAAAUGGGGAGAAGAUAGGGCUCUUGUUUUUUUCAAAGGGCGGCCGGCGGCUCGCAAAGAAAGAAAAAUAUUUUAGGUUUAGGUUUUUUUUUUUUUUUGCUUGCUGCCCUUUCCCCUCUAAAACUUUUCUUUCCCCGUGAGUCUCUCUUUUGCCCUUUCUAUUUUACUGUAGCAUAGUAUUUAUAGAAGAAAUAUUCUUAGGUUUCCAAA